rnacentral:rRNA from 1 species
GACGAACGCUGGCGGCGUGCUUAACACAUGCAAGUCGAACGGAAAGGCCCUGCUUUUGUGGGGUGCUCGAGUGGCGAACGGGUGGGUAACACGUGAGUAACCUGCCCUUGACUUUGGGAUAACUUCAGGAAACUGGGGCUAAUACCGGAUAGGAGCUCCUGCUGCAUGGUGGGGGUUGGAAAGUUUCGGCGGUUUGGGAUGGACUCGCGGCUUAUCAGCUUGUUGGUGGGGUAGUGGCUUACCAAGGCUUUGACGGGUAGCCGGCCUGAGAGGGUGACCGGCCACAUUGGGACUGAGAUACGGCCCAGACUCCUACGGGAGGCAGCAGUGGGGAAUAUUGCACAAUGGGCGGAAGCCUGAUGCAGCAACGCCGCGUGCGGGAUGACGGCCUUCGGGUUGUAAACCGCUUUCGCCUGUGACGAAGCGUGAGUGACGGUAAUGGGUAAAGAAGCACCGGCUAACUACGUG